UACGUAGGGUGCAAGCGUUGUCCGGAAUUAUUGGGCGUAAAGAGCUCGUAGGCGGUUUGUCGCGUCUGCUGUGAAAUCUGGGGGCUCAACCCCCCAGCCUGCAGUGGGUACGGGCAGACUAGAGUGCGGUAGGGGGGAUUGGAAUUCCUGGUGUAGCGGUGAAAUGCGCAGAUAUCAGGAGGAACACCGGUGGCGAAGGCGGGUCUCUGGGCAGUAACUGACGCUGAGGAGCGAAAGCGUGGGGAGCGAACAGG
rnacentral:rRNA from 1 species